AUGGUAAAAAUGAUUGAACAGCCACAACCACCUGAAGGUGACGAGGCUACCACAGGCACAAUGUCACCUCUUGCUGCAGUGCGUCAGUAUCUCUCCACUAACAGUGCAAAAAGCACCUUCCUGCGUAAUUCUGGGUUGGUUGUCAAGGUAACCUCGUCCAAAUCGCCUACUGAACAAAAUCUUCUUGCUAGACAGAGUGAUAUAUCUGUGCUCCAGACACAAGUCCAAUCCCUAAUGGACGUCGUUUUGGAAACAAGAAUAGUGGUUGACAAAUGUCGUCAAGAUAUGAAUGGUUUUGAAACCAGACUAUCAGACAUUCGCUUCGUUGUUCAAGAGCAAUGGCGGAAAAAAAGGUGA
rnacentral:rRNA from 1 species